ensembl:lncRNA
UUUUGCAUGACCGUGUAGCUUAUAAUACAUUUUGACCAAAUGUUGAAUGGGUUGUGUUAGAUUACGCCCACUCCAAAGCGAUUUUGAAUUGUUGAAUACACAGAAUGAAUUUGUAUUAAUGUUUAUUAUUUUACAGAAAUCUUUCUUCGGACUGUAAUGAUGGUUAACUUUGAUAUAAUGUGACAAACGUCACUGGACAACACGUGGUGCUAUUAACACCUACUACAGUAAAUGCAGGUAAUAUAGUCAUCAAUAACUCCAGGUGCGUCCGGGGUUAGCCUGUAACGAGAGCGCCACGCGCUUCAGAUCUCCGCGCAUUAAAAACUAAAGGCACGCGCUGGGAGGGAGUCACGGUUCUCUACAGAACAACCCGUGCCUUAUACGACUAGCACUUCAACCAGCGGAAGAGUUCAAGCUCUUUCCCACAAUCAAACUUCACAUACGAAAACGUACGGCGAUAGGAGAAACUCAGUCUAGACUAGACCGUGACACACUCUCUCUGUCGUGUUCCGCAUGGGGGGAGUGGCAGCAGACAGAGAUUCCCCACACGACCGUUUGUCUGUUUGACUACUGCUCGUUGGACUGACUGAGUCGUUAGGUGGCCACGGUGGAGAGGGGAGAAGAAGCGAGAGAGCUCUUUGAGAAUUUCAGUAAUUCACCCUAACAUUGUCUUCUACAGUAUAACCCGAGCAGCCUUCUCCAGCUUCUCACCGCGACUACAGCUCACUUUAUCCCGCACGACACCUGUCCGAAGAAAUCAGCAGCUCUUCAGCCGUCUCGGAGCAGGCGGAGACCGGUCCUUGGAAAGGUUCAUGCUUCCGCCCGAAGACAGAGGGAUUGGGCACCUAUAAAUCAGGUCUACAGCACAGUAACGUGCCAGCUGAACACUGAAGAACACACACACACACACACACACACCGUCCAUGAGGGCUUUGACGAGGCUAACCUAAAAUGA